rnacentral:tRNA from 1 species
GGGGUUGUGGCUCAGUGGUAGAGCACUUGUCUGGCACAUGUGAGACUCAGGGUUCAAUCCCUAGCACCA